rnacentral:rRNA from 1 species
CAGUAGCCACGGGAAUACGUAGGGUGCAAGCGUUAAUCGGAAUUACUGGGCGUAAAGCGUGCGCAGGCGGUUUGUUAAGACAGAUGUGAAAUCCCCGGGCUUAACCUGGGAACUGCAUUUGUGACUGGCAAGCUAGAGUCUGGCAGAGGGGGGUGGAAUUCCGCGUGUAGCAGUGAAAUGCGUAGAUAUGCGGAGGAACACCGAUGGCGAAGGCAGCCCCCUGGGCCAACACUGACGCUCAUGCACGAAAGCGUGGGGAGCAAACAGGAUUAGAUACCCCAGUAGUCCCUGUCUCUUAUAC